rnacentral:lncRNA from 1 species
AAUAAAUUCGUUUCUUGCGAGCUCGUUAUGUCACUGCACGAGAAGCCGCGCCGUCUCGCGCUGUCAAAAGAGCCGCGCCGUCUCGCGCUGUCAAAAGAGCUGACGCAAAUCCUUCAUUUUCAAACUUCAACAGCUGAAAAACACCCACUUUUAGCUCUUGGUUUGUUCUAAUGGGUGGAUUGUGUGCAAUCGCUGUAAUAUUUUAUUUUUAAGUAGUACUAAAACAAGAAUUAAUUUCGUUUCUUGUGACGUCUGAGUUUGAAGUCUGUAGAGUUAAAGCUCUAGGAGGAGUUAGAGUCAGAAAUUUUAGUCUCAGAAAAAGAAUAAUAAUAAUAAUAACUAGAAUGUAAAGUUAGUGAACUAACUUUGAUGUUGGCUUGGCCUUGGGCCAAAAGAGCCACUGUACUUGUGUGUCCAAACUUCUUGAGCUGCCUUGGUGGAAAAAAAAACUUCCAACAGUAUUUUUCAAUGGACCCUUGCUGUUUUCUGUUCCAAUAAAAAGCCUUGGUUAUGACAACAGUUUCAACAGCUUUGGCUAGCUGUAUGCGAAAUAAGUCAUGCCUUUUCCCCCUGUUUGCUAUUUCCCAGUCCUCUAACUGAAGUGUUGUAUGCAACAACACAGAAGGUAAAAGAAACAAUGUGGUUUAAGUCAAGGUGAAAAUUGAUAUGAAAAUAGAUAAGUAAUAUAGUUUCUUUUCUCACUUUAUGUGUGAUAACUUGAUAAAUAUGUUGUCAAUACUAUUAAAAUAAGAAAAAAACGUAAUGGUACUUAGGGGAUUACAGUUUUUGCAUAAAUACUAUAUUGGGCUUUAUUAAAGUUUAUGAAAAUAGAAUGCAUGUAUAUGCAUUUUAUACUUAUGCACAUAAAUGGAACAUUUUAAAAUCUUUGAACAGAUAUUGAAGUAUUUUCUAUCCUGUGGCGCCAUCGUGUGGACAACAUUAGCAUUGUGGCCUUCAUUUCUGAACAACAUCAUUAUGAAAGGGGCCAAAAUUUUAUGAAUGAUUACAAAUAUUUAAUGAUUAGUUCACUGAUAAUAUACCCACAUUUAAAAAUCGAAAUUUUACCGUGUACUUCGUAGUACUUUACUUUUACUUUACUAGUCGUUAUUUUUUUCAUAAUAUUUACUAUUGACAAUACAAAAUAUAGACAUACAAAAAAAAAGCUGCCAAGACGAAUGAUUUGUCCGUUCUUGCAGCGAAAAGCCAGAAUCAGCGUCCUCUGUAACUCGAGAGAUCGAUGCAAUGUCUUUUUCUGGCCUAAGACAAAAAAAUAUCUCACAAGCACUCAUUUUAAUCUCUAUAAUAUAUUCUUCUAAUUGUUUUGUACUGAUUCGCUGGAGAGUUUUAAUGUAAAAGGCUGUAGUUUCA